GCUCAGGUUACUCAGACUUGGUUAACACAGAACUCCAUUCUGGGCUCUCCUCUUCCUCCAUCUCCCUCAUUGUGAUCCCAACUACCUGCCCCAUUAUGACUCAGUUUCCCCCUCCCUCACCAGAGGAGUCUGUCUCCUAGUGAGUAUGUGGAGCUUGGGGGGCCGGGUACUCCUGGGACCCCAGGCCAUGGGUGAGCAAGCCUACCAUGGAGCCCAUGUAUGUAUGCUCUGGCACCAACCCCAGGAAGUGCCAGGACUUAGGAGACUCAAUUCUUCUGAUUCUGGGCAGCUUCAUCUUGUUCAACGUGGGACUCAAUGUGGUGACUCUGCUCUGGAGGCAUCUGAAGGGCUCCUUGAGGAUUCUGGUCCAUCACUUUCCCCCCAAGGUGAGUGGGCCCCUGGCAAGAGCUCCCAGGGAUGUGGGCUUGUCUCCUUUCUUCUUUCCUUAUCCCUGCUGUCAGCUACUCAGGCACCCAAGCCUUCUCCCAUCACUCCUCUCCCUGCAGGCAAGGAGCCCAGUGCUCUAGGCAGCAGGCCUGUGUGCAUGCGCUGCACUGCAGAUCCCAAGAACCUGUGCUCAAGAGUCUCUUCUUGCUUCCAUCAUCACCCCAGAUUUCUGCUCAGGCAUGCUCACCACAACUCCUGCAUACCAGACACAAAUGAUGAAAAGGCUUCUACGUGCUGCGGGAUACCACCUCAAUGUGGACAAGCUAGGGCUCCCACAGAGGCUCCAGGGGGGACUGUGGAAGGAGGGAGCUAGGGAAGCCCCUCAGGCCACAGCCUUGAAGGCCCAGGACUCCCUGCCCUCCAGGACUGAGAAUUCUUCCCAGUUCCGGAAAAUGAACAAGUUGGACAUGAAUCCGUUCUCUUUACUCCAAGAGAGCAAGACCAAGACCCUCAGACCAUGACCCUGCCUAUGGUCCUACGAAGGCCAAGAGCCAGUUCUCAGCCUAUACCUCAACAGCCCAUGUCCCACCCCCUACCCAUGCCUCAGCCCCUAUCUCAGCCCCUACCCUGGGUCACAGCCAAGCCCACACCCCAGCCUGUCCCCCAGCUCCUAUCCCAACCUAUGCCCCAGGCCCUACUCCAGCCCAGACCCCAGCCCACACCCCUGAGCAUUCCCAGGCCCACAGUUCUGAGAACACCUCAGCUAAUACCCCAGCCCACCCCCUAGCCUAUGCCUCAGCCCACUCCCAGAGCCGCCAUGACCCCAGUUCAUACUUCAACCCAGGCCUGGACGCAUGCCCAGGCCCAUAUCCCUGAGCACAUAUCAGCCCAAGCCUCGGGACGUACUCUAGCCAAUUCUCAUCUAAUUCAUUCCUAUGCCCACACUCCAGUUCCUGCCCCAUCCUCUACCACAGCCCCUCCCCCAUCUUUUGCCCCAGUCCACUCCUGCCAUAUGCCCUAUCAAGCCCCUGUUCCAGUCUGUCCCUUGACUACCACUCCAGCCCCUGUUCCUGUCCCCUGCCACCACCUCUACCCCUAUCCUAACUCCUGUUCCCUCUACUCUGGCUGCCUAUGGCCCUAGCCACUCCACCGGUCAUGUGGCCUAUGAUGCCCGCAGGGUAAAACAAAACAUCUUCCACAAGUGCAAUGCCCAGAAUUCUGGGUAUUCUAGAAAGGACUUGGGUACCCUCUUUGGGUCCCAAGACAUGCAGGGCCUGGAGAGUUCUAAUACAACUGAACAGACAUCAAAGCAAAAUGUUGGGAACAAUCCUGAGACUCCUGCAGGAUCUGUACUGGGCUACCUAGAGUUGGGGAAUAUGGAAUGGAAGAUUUCAGAUGAUGCCAAAAACAAGUUCUCCCAGACUAAGACCUUCCCUUACUACAGCUUCCAUUCUUGCAGUUCAGAAAGGAAAAAUACAAAUUCUAAGGAUCCAGCAUUCCUGAUCUAUACCAAGGAUGCUGCUCCUUCUAAAUAUGGCUUUCACUCUCCAGCUACUGCCCAGAGCUCACUGCCCACACUUACUCCACCAUGCAUUCUUUCUCUUCCACUUGUUUCUCCCAAAGCCUUUGUCCUCACUCACCCUACCAACCAUCAGAAGCCCUCCAACUUAGCACAAACUCCCACCUUUCUUCCAACCUCCAACUCUCCUCAAUAUGUCCUCUCUUCCUACUUUCCUACCCCUCCCCAGUUCUCCACCAUUUCCCAAUCUCUGAUCCAACCCCUGAGCUUCAUGAUAAUCAAGGUCUUACCGAAAACCCUGGCCUCCAAAGGAUUCCAUGCCUUUCAAAAGACUCCAGAGUUCCCAGAAAUCCAGGCCUUAUCCAAAAUCCAGGCCUCAACAAGAAUAUAGGCCUUAUACAAGAUCCAGGCCUCCGCAAGAAUCCACAUCUUUCUCAAAAUCCAGGCCUCCACAAAAACACGGGCCUUACUCAAGACCCUGAUCUCUGCAAGAACCUAAGCCCUUCCCAAGACACCAGCCUUCACAAGAAACCAAGUAUUUCUCAAGAUCCUCACUCCGAAAAGAGUCCAGAUCCUACUCAACAUGCUAGUGUCACUGAACCCUCUGGACUCCAGAAGAAAACACCAUUUACCCAAACUUCUGACCUUCAGAGGAGUUCAGACAUUAUACAAGACUCUGGAGUCAGUAGGAAUGUUGAACUAAACAAAGAAGACACUGUAGUCUAUAAAAGUCAAGACCCCUCCCAAGUAACUGAUCUCCAAAAGAGGCCAGGGCCUUGUCAAGAUUCUGGAGGCAACAAGAGUACAGGAAAUAUCCAAGAUCCAGGAGCUCAUGGGAGCCUAGGCCUUAUCCAAGAUUCUAGAACACAGAAGAACCCAUGUUUAGUCCAAGACACUGGAAGUCAACAAAAGUUCAGAACUUACUCAGGAAUCUGGUACCCAUAGGAACCCAGACCUUGUCCAAACCACUGGCCUCCAUAAGGUCUCGGGCCUCACCCAAGACUCAGGAGACUACAAGAAUCUAGGCCAUACCCAGGAUUCUGGAGUCAACAAAGUCCCAGGUUUUACCCAAAAUUCUGAUUGCCACAGGAGUACAGACCUUCCCCAAGCCACUGAAGUUGGAAAAAGAUCCAAUCUAACCCAAGAUGUUGGCAUUUACAGGAGCCCAGAACAUGGCCAAGAGUCUAACCUCCACAAGUGUCCAGGAAUUAAUCAAGAUCCUGGCCCUCAUAAGGACCCAGCAGUUGUCCAAAACUCUGGCCUCUGCAAGAUUCCAGGUCUUUCUGACGAAUCUGGCCUUCAGAAAGAUGCAUGUCUUAUCCAAGUUCCUGGUCUCCAUGAGAAUCCAAGCCUUGCUAUAGGUACUGACUCUGUCCCAAGUCGAUCCACAUCUGACCCCACAGCCAACACCAUGUUUGAUGAAGUCAUUUAAAUAUGAGACAGCUCCUCAGAAGGAGAGAGCAAAGCAUCAUGUAUCCUGGGCUUCUGUUCCAAUCAACCAAAACUUCUGUCCUUCCAAGCCCCAGCUAAUCUCCACUGGCCUGCAAACCUUCUCAGAGGUACCUGUACUAAUUGAGCUGCAACCAUCCUCCCGACAGGCAGGCAGCCAAGACUGGGUAUACCACCCUGUGGAUACAGUUCCUUCAGCUUCCCAGAACUAUCGCCAGAGGUCUAUGCCUCCCAAAAUCAACUGGAAGCCCCACUGCCCUAGACCAAGCACCCGGACAGGGCAUGUGGUCUUUGAUGCUCGACAGAGACAGUUAGCAGUGGGCAGGGACAAAUGUGAAGCUCUGUCUGCCCGGCGCCUUUGCCGAGAGGCACCCAGGAACUCAGGGGAGACCACCAAGGAGUGGGGAUAUCAGAAUGUGAUGAGAACCUCAGACAAAGAGGGGACAAAUCAGUAAUAAAGAGAGAAGAGAAGUAUUCUUUGGUUUUUCUAGGCCAUCCAUCCCAGACCCAUCCCUGAUGGUGACCACUGACAGUCUAAUGAGGACUAGAACUAUCACGUCCCUGCUACUACUCCACAGAUCCUUAGCCAAACCCAUUAUUCUCCAGGCCCCAGGCCUGCAUUUACAAUACAGUAGCCCACUA
ensembl:lncRNA